rnacentral:misc_RNA from 1 species
AGCAGCCGCGGUAAUUCCAGCUCCAAUAGCGUAUAUUAAAGUUGUUGCAGUUAAAAAGCUCGUAGUUGAAUUUCGGGGUUAGUAGGUUGGUCAUGCCUCUGGUAUGUACUGGUCUCACUGAUUCCUCCUUCCUGAUGAGCCGUAAUGCCAUUAAUUUGGUGUUGCGGGGAAUUUGGACUGUUACUUUGAAAAAAUUAGAGUGUUUAAAGCAAGCUAACGCUUGAAUACAUUAGCAUGGAAUAAUGAAAUAGGACGUUCGAUCCUAUUUUGUUGGUUUCUAGGAUUGACGUAAUGAUUAGUAGGGAUAGUUGGGGGCAUUAGUAUUCAAUUGUCAGAGGUGAAAUUCUUGGAUUUAUUGAAGACUAACUACUGCGAAAGCAUUUGCCAAGGAUGUUUUCAUUAAUCAAGAACGAAAGUUAGGGGAUCGAAGACGAUCAGAUACCGUCGUAGUCUUAACCAUAAACUAUGCCGACUAGGGAUCGGAUGAUGUUAAUUUUUUAAUGACUCAUUCGGCGCCUUA